rnacentral:rRNA from 1 species
GACGAACGCUGGCGGCGUGCUUAACACAUGCAAGUCGAACGGAGAGGCCCUGCUUUUGUGGGGUGCUCGAGUGGCGAACGGGUGAGUAACACGUGAGUAACCUGCCCUUGACUUUGGGAUAACUUCAGGAACCUGGGGCUAAUACCGGAUAGGAGCUCCUGCUGCAUGGUGGGGGUUGGAAAGUUUCGGCGGUUGGGGAUGGACUCGCGGCUUAUCAGCUUGUUGGUGGGGUAGUGGCUUACCAAGGCUUUGACGGGUAGCCGGCCUGAGAGGGUGACCGGCCACAUUGGGACUGAGAUACGGCCCAGACUCCUACGGGAGGCAGCAGUGGGGAAUAUUGCACAAUGGGCGGAAGCCUGAUGCAGCAACGCCGCGUGCGGGAUGACGGCCUUCGGGUUGUAAACCGCUUUCGCCUGUGACGAAGCGUGAGUGACGGUAAUGGGUAAAGAAGCACCGGCUAACUACGUG